rnacentral:rRNA from 1 species
ACAGUGGACGCGAGCAUCUGUGGCCAAGUUUUUAAGGGCGCACGGUGGAUGCCUUGGCACCAGGAACCGAUGAAGGACGUGGGAGGCCACGAUAGUCCCCGGGGAGCCGUCAACCAGGCUUUGAUCCGGGGGUUUCCGAAUGGGGAAACCCGGCAGUCGUCAUGGGCUGUCACCCAUGCCUGAACACAUAGGGCAUGUGGAGGGAACGAGGGGAAGUGAAACAUCUCAGUACCCUCAGGAAGAGAAAACAACCGUG